UAGCAACAGCUUAAAACUCAAAGGACUUGGCGGUGCUUUAUAUCCUUCUAGAGGAGCCUGUUCUAUAAUCGAUAAACCCCGAUAAACCUCACCAAUUCUUGCUAAUACAGUCUAUAUACCGCCAUCUUCAGCAAACAAUGGCUGG
rnacentral:rRNA from 1 species